rnacentral:rRNA from 1 species
ACGGGAGGCAGCAGUGGGGAAUAUUGCACAAUGGGGGAAACCCUGAUGCAGCGACGCCGCGUGAGUGAAGAAGUAUUUCGGUAUGUAAAGCUCUAUCAGCAAGGAAGAAAAUGACGGUACUUGACUAAGAAGCUCCGGCUAAAUACGUGCCAGCAGCCGCGGUAAUACGUAUGGAGCAAGCGUUAUCCGGAUUUACUGGGUGUAAAGGGAGCGUAGACGGCAAAGCAAGUCUGAAGUGAAAUCCCGGGGCUCAGCCCCGGAACUGCUUUGGAAACUGUUUAGCUAGAGUGCAGGAGAGGUAAGCGGAAUUCCUAGUGUAGCGGUGAAAUGCGUAGAUAUUAGGAGGAACACCAGUGGCGAAGGCGGCUUACUGGACUGUAACUGACGUUGAGGCUCGAAAGCGUGGGGAGCAAACAGGAUUAGAUACCCUGGUA